UGUAUGUUCAUUCAAAGUGGUGCAUGUAUGUUCCAAUAGAAGAGAAAAUAGAGAGAACUAACAACUAGAACAUUUAAAUGAAAAGUGAGAAAUGACCUGUCCCAGCUGAUUCUAGCCUAGCCUGAAAUAGCAUGUGGUAGGAGUACGCAGGGAUUCAUUCGUUGAAGGACUAAGCCCACAGUGUAAGGAGUAGUUACUGAAAUACGAAAGUUCAUGUUUCCUGAAGAACAGCAAAGAAGAAUUGGUUGGACUAUCAUUCUCAUCCCUGAACUUUGGGAAGGAGGAGAAAUGUCUAAAUGAACCUCUGGCCCUAAAGGAUUCAGCAGGUGCUGUGAACGCGGAAAAGAGGGACUGCGUAUCUGGUUAGGAGUGCCGGCUCUGGUGCCAGAGUGCCCACAUUUAUGCCAGGCACUGGAUCUUUCUGGCUGUGGAAACUUGGACAGAUUACUCAACUGUCUAGUGUGAAAUGAGAAUGAAGUAAUCAUACUAGCUCAUGAGAUGAAGGUAAGGAUAAAAUGGUAUUUGCAGGUGAAGUUCCCAGUGCAUAGUAAGAACUCA
rnacentral:lncRNA from 1 species